ACUCUUUAUCCGUAAUUUCAUUGCUUUCCACUCUCCACUCAAAUCCCGCUUUUAGUAAAUUAGUUUAGUUUAAAAUAUCGCUCGAACAAAAAACAAAGCCGAGUUCCCAAAGUCCUUUUGGCUUUGGCAUCCAUAAAGGAAGAACUUUAUAAUCAAAUUCUCAAAAAGUCGUCAAAUUUAUCAUCUGGGAUAAGGAUUAUAUGGGUAUCGAAGGAGUGGAAGAAUCGGGAGGCACGGGGGUGCCCCUAUCGAAAUUCAGGUACAACUCGCCGUUUGUUCAAGUGAGUCUCAUCGGAUUGGUCUGUUUCUGCUGCCCUGGCAUGUUCAACGCCCUCUCCGGCAUGGGCGGCGGAGGCCAGGUCGACCCGACUGCCUCCAACAACGCCUCCACUGCCCUCUUCACCACCUUCGCCAUCUUCGGCAUCCUCGGUGGCGGCAUCUACAACAUCCUCGGCCCCCGCCUUACACUCCUCUCCGCCUGCUCCACCUACGUCCUCUACGCCGGCUCAUUCCUCUACUACAACCACCACAAGCACCAGGCUUUCGCUAUUGUCGCCGGAGCAAUCCUCGGAAUCGGCGCCGGCAUCCUCUGGGCCGGCCAAGGUUCCAUCAUGACGUCGUACCCUCCCUCGAAUCGAAAGGGGACAUACAUCUCGAUUUUCUGGAGCAUUUACAAUAUGGGUGGCGUCAUCGGAGGACUAAUUCCGUUUGUUCUUAACUACCACCGGAGCCAAGCGGCUUCCGUCAACGAUGCAACUUACAUUGGGUUCAUGAUUUUCAUGUCCAUCGGGACUCUUUUAUCCCUCGCUAUCCUGCCCCCCAGCAAAAUUGUCCGGGAUGACGGGACUAAAUGUACGGACAUUCAGUACUCAAACGUCACAACUGAGGCCAUUGAGAUUGCCAAGCUGUUCACAAACUGGAAAAUGCUUCUUAUAAUCCCGGCUGCUUGGUCGAGCAUUUUUUUCUACACCUACCUAUUCAACAACGUCAAUAAAGUUAUGUUUAAUAUGAGGACUAGAGGAUUGAACAAUGUGUUCUACUGGGGAGCGGAGAUUUUCGGGUCCAUUGGGAUUGGAUACGUUAUGGAUUUCAGCUUCAAGAGCAGGAGGACUAGGGGUUUCGUGGGCAUUUCGGUUGUUGGUGUCCUCGGGACUGCAAUUUGGAUUGGCGGACUUGCCAACCAACUCAACUACUCUCGAAGCGAUUUGCCUGAGAAGUUGGAUUUUAAGGACUCCGGCUCUGCUUUCGCAGGACCGUUCGUGUUGUAUUUUAGUUUCGGGUUGCUUGAUGCCAUAUUCCAGAGAAUGGUUUUCUGGGUCAUUGGAGCCUUGGCUGAUAACUCUGAAAUUCUAAGCAGGUAAUAGAAUAUUCCUUGCUUCCCAAGUCUUUAACCUUUCAAUGAUCUUUGUGCGUUUGGGCAAUUUUUCGUGUGCAGGACUGGACAAUCCAAUCCAAUCCUGCGCACGAAAUGUGGACUUAGUGGCAUUCACAGAACAAUGUGUGAUUCUAAAAAUUUAUUUAAUUUUGUGCAUGUUUUGUACAGGUAUGUUGGAUUCUACAUGGGAAUACAGAGUGCAGGGUCAGCAGUAGCUUGGCAAGUCGAUGCGCACAAGGCAUCCUUCCUCUCCCAAUUGGUUACGAAUUUCACGCUUUACACCGUGAGUUAUCCGCUGCUGGUGGUUCUGAUCUUGCUGGCCGUGAAGGAUGAAGGUAAGGCUGAUGUGGAGGAAUUUACCAAGGGGAAGGUUGCUGAAUUUACCGAGGAGAAGUUGCUGAGCCUGCAGCCUCAGAGAAGUGAUCGUAAUGAUCGUCGGCUUAAUUAGCAGAUGAAAUUAGUCAUAAGCCAUCCAAAUGUUUGUCUUAAUUACGUCCAUACAAUCGAAUCUUCACGAAUUAUUGUAAUGGAAAUGCCAGUAUAAUUGAUGUAGCACGUUCAAAUUGUCAAAAAAUUUACAGAGUAAUCAAAGUUCAUGUUUUGAUAAAAUGUCUGAAUGACUAGUUCUUGACCACGAUUGUCCAUUAUAUUCAUGGAUGCUUGGAAGGAAUACUGAGAGAGUCUUCUACUCAUCGAGGAACCUUCAUGUCAAACCCUAGCUAGUGAUAGAGCCAGAUGAUAUUUGACGUGAUUUUCCUAUGAUCUCUCGAGCCUUGAGUAUUUACAAAUGCUUGGUUAACAAUCCUUCCACCCUUGGACCAACUGGAGGCACGCACAGUGAUGAUGCUUCCUCAGAAGGAUCUCAUCAUGGUGUUUGAAUGAUCGAGGAAACAACUAAGCAAGAUAAUGCAAAGGAAUCAUGGUUUUUGCUUCAGAACCGCAAGAAAGGAGCAUAGAGUUUGAUAUCUCAUAGUUGUUUGCCAAUUCAAUCAGUUAUUGGGUUCUUUCGCACCAGACAUUUUUCAUCGGAGGAUGCUUUCGUUGUUGUUUUAGCCAGAAGGUAAGACGCGUCCACUCAAUAUGAGCAAUAGAUCAGGUUUCCUUUGCCCGUUGGAUUUCGGAGGCCACCCUACUCGUAGUGUGUAUUUGCUGGUAUGUGAUUGAGUUGGGCUGUCUAAAUCCUAAUUAGUGUUUUUUAUGACAUGUUAAAAGCCUUCUGGAGUUUUAACCACUCGAGCAAGGCUCGAGCAGUCCUUGUGAGGCCUCGGUGGGGGUCCAAGUACCGCUUGAAGGGGCCUCGACAGGACUCGAGCAUUGCUCUAGAUUAUCUUGACGGGUUUUCGUCAUAUUGUUAAACGUCUUUUAGUAAGGAAGCGUCGUAAUCGUGGAGCAAUAAUGUGUUUGACUUUCGGAUACAUGGUCCGAGAUUUCGAUUUGAUACUUGAUGUGUUCGUUGGAUCUUGUUGCAGAUUAGGAUCUACUUCCAAAAACUACAGUAGAAAAUGGUGUAGAGCCAAAGUCUAUAAUCUUGAAACGUAGGUCAUCCCUUUAUCCUUUCCACAACCCUAUUGCUGGUGGUCCGUUCUUGGACCACCAUAAGUACCGAUGAAAAGUCAAUCACGUCUUGUUAAAAUUUUCACAAUUGAUUUGGAAUAUUAAUAUAGUGAUAUUCUCGGCAUAUGUAACGUUUAAGUCAUCAUGAUAUUGUGUCUGUAUCUUAAGUCAGUCGCACAACAGUAAUAAUUGAACUCUGAACAAGAUUAUAAAAGUUGCUUGAGUAAUGAACUUAUUAAACAAAAACUCAUUCAUUUAGGAGACCGAGUUUACAAUUGUCGAAUGUUUUUUUUUUUUCCACAAACCAACAAAAACAAUAUCUUCCUCUCAAGAACGCUCGAUAACUCCCUAUUGAAAUGAGUUUUUAAUCCUUUUAUUUUCUUUAAAAUGAGACUAAUUAGUGGUUUCGUCAUGACAAUUUACUUUUUAUAGACCGAAAAAAUCCGCAGAAUAUAUUGAAAUGAGUUUUUGGUCGAUCAGGAAUUGCAGCCGCCCGACUUGCCGUUUAAUGAGCUAAUAAUGCCAAAAUGCUUUAACGUCACUUGGUGCGCUUGCGUUUGAAGAGUUUGUCGAUGUCAACAGCAAACUUAGACUUUUCUGUGAAGUAUGCCAAACAAGUUGAAAACAACAUAUAGCCACUCUUAAUUUACAAUUUCUCCCUCACGCUUGGGAAGGAAAAUACAAUUACUUGAUUAUCUGCGCCUGCAUAAUCAUAUUAGACAAACCAAGUUUAAUUAGUUACUGAAUUAUUUGAUGUUACGGAAAACAGAAGAUUAUACGUUGCAGACAUGAGCUUAAGUUGGUUAACAUAUUGUUUCCGUUUUUUACCCAACUUCAAGUCAUGCUCUUAAUAAUAAACAAUACAUCGUUAUUAUGAGGAGAUUUUUCAGUUGUCGGAAACACGACCUGAUACACUAAUAAAAUAAAAUUGUACCUAAUAUUUUAUCCGUACGUCUUUAUUUCUUUAAAUCUCAUACCAUCGAAGUUGUUUUCGAUCUUCACACUUUAUCUCUCUUUUCUUGGACCCUGAAUCAAGGACGGUUUGGCAUGGACAUAUACUCAUAUGCCCAUUCCAACUUGGGAAUUGAAAUACAAGAUUCCCUUCCACCCCUAAUCUAACGAAUGAUUAAAAAUUUGAAACUGUGAUUUUUUUAUGCAUAUUCAUAUCCCAUCCCGUCAGGAUUAGGGAUUUAUAAUCUGACUUUUCUCAGCAUCAUUCUCACACGCCCCGCUGGACUCUGAAAACCCAGACAAAGCCUGGACUCCAUAAAUUGUCAUUUGCUAUGCAUUCUUUGUCCAAUCCAAGGGUCCUUGUCCGUUUUGACCCUUGCAAUUGGUCCCGGACUAUAUCGUCCCGAGCUAAAUCCUUCUGCUAAUCACAACCACAUAAGUUCAUCCUUUCGAUUCUCCACCAAAUCCCCGUAAAUUAGAUUAGUUUAGAAUAUCGCUCGAUAAAAAGUUCGGAUCCCAGUUCCAUUUGGCAUUCAAAGGGAGGAACUUUGUGAUUAAAAUCACACAGAAGUCGUAAAAUUUAUCACCUGGGAUUCGAUGGUUUCCGAAGGAGUGGAAGAAUCGGGAGGCACGGAGGUGCCCCAGUCGAAAUUCAGGUACAACUCGCCGUUUGUCCAAGUGAGUUUGAUCGGAUUGGUCUGUUUCUGCUGCCCUGGCAUGUUCAUGGCCCUCUCUGGCAUGGGCGGCGGAGGCCAGGUCGACCCGACUGCCUCCAACAACGCCUCCACCGCCCUCUAUACCACCUUCGCCGUCUUCGGAAUUCUCGGCGGCGGCAUCUACAACAUCCUCGGCCCCCGCCUCACUCUCCUCUCCGCCUGCCCCACCUACGUCCUCUACGCCGGCUCAUUCCUCUACUACAACCACCACAAGCACCAGGCUUUCGCUAUUGUCGCCGGAGUAAUCCUCGGAAUCGGCGCCGGCCUCCUCUGGGCAGGCCAAGGCGCCAUCAUGACGUCAUACCCUCCCCCGAACCGAAAGGGGACAUACAUCUCGAUUUUCUGGAGCAUUUUCAACAUGGGUGGCGUCAUCGGUGGACUAAUUCCCUUCGUUCUUAAUUACCACCGGAGCGAAGCGGCUUCCGUCAACGAUGCAACUUACAUUGGGAUAAUGAUUUUCAUGUCCAUCGGGACUCUUUUAUCCCUCUCUAUCCUGCCCGCCAGCAAAGUUGUCCGGGACGACGGGACUAAAUGUACGGACAUUCAGUACUCAAAUGUCACAACUGAGGCCAUUGAGAUUGCCAAGCUGUUUACGAAUUGGAAAAUGCUUCUUAUAAUCCCGGCUGCUUGGUCGGGCAAUUUUUUCUACACCUACCAGUUCAACAACGUCAACCAAAUUAUGUUUAAUCUGAGGACGAGAGGAUUGAACAAUGUGUUCUACUGGGGAGCGCAGAUGUUGGGGUCCAUCGGGAUUGGAUACGUUAUGGAUUUCAGCUUCAAGAGCAGGAGGACGAGGGGUUUCGCUGGCAUUUCAGUAGUUGGUGUUCUCGGGACUACAAUUUGGAUUGGCGGACUUGUCAACCAGCUCAACUACUCUCGCAGUGAUUUGCCUGAGAAGUUGGAUUUUAAGGACUCCGGCUCUGCUUUCGCAGGACCCUUCGUGUUGUAUUUUAGUUUCGGACUGCUUGAUGCCAUGUUCCAGAGCAUGAUUUACUGGGUCAUUGGAGCCUUGGCUGAUAACUCUGAAAUUCUAAGCAGGUAACAGGAUAUUCCUUGCUUCUCAACUUUUUCAUUUCUCAAUGAUCUUCGUGCGUUUAGGCAAUUUUUCGUGCGCAGGCGUGGACAAUCCAAUCCAAUCAUGCGCACGAAAUGUGGCCUUAGUUACAGUCACAGAACAAAGAGUGAUGCUAAAAACUCAUAUUUUUGUGCAUGUUUUGUACAGGUAUGUUGGAUUCUACAAAGGAAUACAGAGUGCAGGGGCAGCAGUUGCUUGGCAAGUCGAUACGCUCAAGGCAUCCUUCCUCUCCCAAUUGGUUACCAAUUUCGCGCUCAACACCGUGAGUUAUCCGCUGCUGCUGGUUCUGAUCUUGCUGGCUGUGAAGGAUGAAGGUAAGGCUGAUGUGGAGGAAUUUACCAAGGAGAAGGUUGCUGAGCCUGCAGCCUCAGAGAAGUGAUCAUAAUGAUCGUCGGCUUAAUUAGCAGAUCAAAUUAGUCAUAAGCUCUGAAUAUUUGAUUUAAUUACGUUCAUACAAUCGAAUCUUCACGAAUUAGUGUAAAUUAUGUACCAUGUUCAAAUUGUCAAGUAUUUUACUGAGUAAAUGUUGUAAUGGAGGUACUAUAUUGAAAUAAAAUAGUAGGUGGGGUAUGAAAGUGAAAUGUUUUAAAGAUGUUGUAUAGAGUUGUAAUAGACUUUAAACUUGAGGGGUAACUAUGUAAUUUACCCUAAUAAAUAAUACACCGUUAUUGUGGGAAGAUUUUUUCAGUACGUCGAAAACCCGGCCUGGUACACCAAAUAUAAUAAUAUAAUUAGUUGAAAAUUGAAAAUAAAAUUUCAACCAAUUAUAUUAUUACACUUGUGUACCGAACGUGUUCCAAAUACACUGAAAAAUUUAUCGCUACUUUAGCAUAACGUCCCAAUAAGUUAGAAGUAUAUGUAAUAUUUUAUCCGCGCGUCUUUAUUUCUUUAACGCUUAUAGUUAUACCAUCUAAGUUGUUUUCGCUCUUCACUCUUUGUCUCUCUUUCCGUGGACCAUGAAUCAAGGACAGUUUGGCAUGGACAUAUACAGUAUACUCAUAUACCCAUCCCACUAGGGAAUUAAAAUACAAGAUUCCUUUCCACCUAUUAUCUAACGAAUGAUUGAAAUUUUGAAAUUGACUGAAUUUUUUAUGGAUUUAACUUCGCUGCGGCUUUCAUCCAAUUUCGAUUGGACACGUAUACCAGUUUUGAUUAAAAAAAUUAAAAUUUGAACACGUGUUCAGUCGGGUGUGAGCAGCUGCUGAAUCUGCAGCAGCCAAAUCCAGUUUUUUUUUAUUUUUUUUAUGCGUAUUCAUAUCCCGUCCCGUCGGGAUUAAGGAUUUAUAAUCCGACUUUUCUCAGCAUCAUUCUCACACGCCCCGCUGGACUCUGAAAACCCAGACAAAGCCUGGACUCCAGAAAUUGUCAUUUGCUUUGCAUUCUUUGUCCAAUCCAAGGGUCCUUGUCCGUUUUGACCCUUGCAAUUAGUCGUGGACUAUAUCGUCCCGAGCUAAAUCCUUCUGCUAAUCACAACCACAUAUGUCAGUUCAUCCUUCCCAUAAAUUAGAUUAGUUUAGAAUAUCGCUCGAGAAAAAGUUCGGAUCCCAGUUCCAUUUGGCAUUCAAAGGGAGGAACUUUGUGAUUAAAAUCACACAAAAGUCGUAAAAUUUAUCACCUGGGAUUCGAUGGUUUCCGAAGGAGUGGAAGAAUCGGGAGGCACGGAGGUGCCCCAGUCAAAAUUCAGGUACAACUCGCCGUUUGUCCAAGUGAGUUUGAUCGGAUUGGUCUGUUUCUGCUGCCCUGGCAUGUUCAACGCCCUCUCCGGCAUGGGCGGCGGAGGCCAGGUCGAUCCGACCGCCGCUAACAACGCCUCCACCGCCCUCUAUACCACCUUCGCCGUCUUCGGUAUCCUCGGUGGCGGCAUCUACAACAUCCUCGGCCCCCGCCUCACUCUCCUCUCCGCCUGCUCCACCUACGUUCUCUACGCCGGCUCAUUCCUCUACUACAACCACCACAAACACCAGGCUUUCGCUAUUGUCGCCGGAGCAAUCCUCGGAAUCGGCGCCGGCCUCCUCUGGGCCGGCCAAGGUGCCAUCAUGACGUCAUACCCUCCCCCAAACCGAAAGGGGACAUACAUCUCGAUUUUCUGGAGCAUUUUCAACAUGGGUGGCGUCAUCGGUGGACUAAUUCCCUUCGUUCUUAAUUACCACCGGAGUGAAGCGGCUUCCGUCAACGAUGCAACUUACAUUGGGUUCAUGAUUUUCAUGUCCAUUGGGACUCUUUUAUCCCUCGCUAUCCUGCCCCCCAGCAAAGUUGUCCGGGACGACGGGACUAAAUGUACGGACAUUCAGUACUCAAAUGUUACGACUGAGGCCAUUGAGAUUGCCAAGCUGUUUACAAAUUGGAAAAUGCUUCUUAUAAUCCCGGCUGCUUGGUCGAGCAAUUUUUUCUACACCUACCAAUUCAACAACGUCAAUCAAAUUAUGUUUAAUCUGAGGACUAGAGGAUUGAACAAUGUGUUCUACUGGGGAGCGCAGAUGUUGGGGUCCGUCGGGAUUGGAUACGUUAUGGAUUUCAGCUUCAAGAGCAGGAGGACGAGGGGUUUCGCUGGCAUUUCAGUAGUUGGUGUUCUCGGGACUACAAUAUGGAUUGGCGGACUUGUCAACCAGCUCAACUACUCUCGCAGUGAUUUGC
rnacentral:lncRNA from 1 species